AUUGAACGCUGGCGGCAUGCCUUACACAUGCAAGUCGAACGGCAGCACGGGAGCUUGCUCCUGGUGGCGAGUGGCGAACGGGUGAGUAAUAUAUCGGAACGUGCCCGGUCGUGGGGAUAACGUAGCGAAAGCUACGCUAAUACCGCAUACGAUCUACGGAUGAAAGCGGGGGAUCGCAAGACCUCGCGCGAUUGGAGCGGCCGAUAUCAGAUUAGGUAGUUGGUGAGGUAAAGGCUCACCAAGCCGACGAUCUGUAGCUGGUCUGAGAGGACGACCAGCCACACUGGGACUGAGACACGGCCCAGACUCCUACGGAGGCAGCAGUGGGGAAUUUUGGACAAUGGGCGCAAGCCUGAUCCAGCAAUGCCGCGUGCAGGAUGAAGGCCUUCGGGUUGGUAAACUCGGACUUUUGUUACGGAACGAAACGGUAGAGGCUCUAUACAGUUUAGCUAAUGACGGUACCGUAAGAAUAAGAC
rnacentral:rRNA from 1 species